rnacentral:rRNA from 1 species
GACGAACGCUGGCGGCGUGCUUAACACAUGCAAGUCGAACGGAAAGGCCCUGCUUUUGUGGGGUGCUCGAGUGGCGAACGGGUGAGUAACACGUGAGUAACCUGCCCUUGACUUUGGGAUAACUUCAGGAAACUGGGGCUAAUACCGGAUAGGAGCUCCUGCUGCAUGGUGGGGGUUGGAAAGUUUCGGCGGUUGGGGAUGGACUCGCGGCUUAUCAGCUUGUUGGUGGGGUAGUGGCUUACCAAGGCUUUGACGGGUAGCCGGCCUGGGAGGGUGACCGGCCAAAUUGGGACUGGAAUACGGCCCAGACUCCUACGGGGGGCAGCAGGGGGGAAUUUUCCACAAUGGGCGGAAGCCUGAUGCAGCAACGCCGCGUGGGGGAUGACGGCCUUCGGGUUGUAAACCGCUUUCGCCUGGGACGAAGGGGGAGUGACGGUAAUGGGUAAAGAAACCCCGGCUAACUACGGG